AUUGAACGCUGGCGGCAGGCUUAACACAUGCAAGUCGAGGGGUAUAGUUCUUCGGAACUAGAGACCGGCGCACGGGUGCGUAACGCGUAUGCAAUCUACCUUUUGCAGAGGGAUAGCCCAGAGAAAUUUGGAUUAAUACCUCAUGGUAUGUGAGAAUGGCAUCAUUUUCACAUUAAAGUCACAACGGCAAAAGAUGAGCAUGCGUCCCAUUAGCUUGUUGGUAAGGUAACGGCUUACCAAGGCAACGAUGGGUAGGGGUCCUGAGAGGGAGAUCCCCCACACUGGUACUGAGACACGGACCAGACUCCUACGGGAGGCAGCAGUGAGGAAUAUUGGACAAUGGGCGCAAGCCUGAUCCAGCCAUGCCGCGUGCAGGAUGACGGUCCUAUGGAUUGUAAACUGCUUUUGUACAGGAAGAAACACUGGUUCGUGAACCAGCUUGACGGUACUGUAAGAAUAAGGAUCGGCUAACUCCGUGCCAGCCGCCGCCGUAACAC
rnacentral:rRNA from 1 species